CAAUAAAAAUUUUUCGAUUGAAUUUUUUUUUUUUUUUUGUGAGAAGGGCAUAAAUUUGUAAGAGUGUUGCAAAACAUUCAAGUCAAAAAAAUACAGUACACAUGAUUAUGUACACUAAUUCAGAGGAAUACCACAAAUAUAUUCAUAUUUUUUAGUAUUAGUUCAGAUGAUACAUCUUUAAGUUAUUUUGACUUUUGGCGAUGUGCUUCAUGUUUCUUGUGUUGGAUGCGAUGAUACCACGGGUUUUUCUCGUACCUGUUGAGGACAUCGCUUGCUCACGUUAUACUCACUUUAUGUAGCUAUGUAUAAUCAAUAAUCGGAGAUCGCACAUACCUAAUUACACUUAUAAUAUAUUAAUAAUAAUAAUAAUAAUAAUAAUACAAUACGUUAUAUUUACCUUGGAUUGAGCUCCUAUACUCACUUACAAUUGUCAUUGUCGCACAUCAAUUGGGAGUAAAUUCUAAUUAUUUUAAUGUGUAUAUAUGCAAUCUUGAGCCUCCACAGAGCUAUACUCAAUGAUCCUGGACCCACAAAAAUACUUAACAUCGGUACAUUAUUUCUAAUUACAACAGGAAUAUACGUUUUAAAUACAUGGGGAAGCGCCAAAAAGUCAAAAAAUUAUUAUUACAAUUUUAGCUUUACUUAU